UACGUAGGUGGCGAGCGUUGUCCGGAUUUACUGGGCGUAAAGGGAGCGUAGGCGGACUUUUAAGUGAGAUGUGAAAUACCCGGGCUCAACUUGGGUGCUGCAUUUCAAACUGGAAGUCUAGAGUGCAGGAGAGGAGAAUGGAAUUCCUAGUGUAGCGGUGAAAUGCGUAGAGAUUAGGAAGAACACCAGUGGCGAGGGCGAUUCUCUGGACUGUAACUGACGCUGAGGCUCGAAAGCGUGGGGAGCAAACAGGAUUAGAUACCCCU
rnacentral:rRNA from 1 species